CCAGCGAUGGCCGCGGAAGGGGCGAGCUGGGGCCCAGUCCACAGAGGUUGACUGGGCCGAGGAUUGGAGACCCUUGUCGGACGUAUACCGUGUGUUCCUCACGUGUCUGUUCCGCCGCCGCCACCUCCCAGCAAGGGACUCAGCAGUCACCUAUCACCUGUCACCACCUGUGCAGUGGAGAUGGGGAGGCAGAAGAGAAAGCAAGUGGAUCCCACCUCAAGUGAUGAAAAGGGAUCACAUCCAGGAUCCCAUGUUACAUGUAAUUUAAUUGUCCUAUCUAAUCUCCUCUUGCCUGUGGCAGAUUCAGAUUCUCCUUGUUUUUGAUGGCCUUGACAGUUUUGAGGAGUGCUGCUCAGGAAAGGAACAGAAGUGAACAUGGAAUUCAGCCUGAGAAGGAGGGAGGUGCAGAGGCUGUGUGCACGAGGCAGGUGGAGUGUCAGAGCACAG